rnacentral:pre_miRNA from 1 species
UAUGUACUCCCUCCGUUCCAAAAUAGAUGACCCAACUUUAUACUAACUUUGUACUAAAGUUAGUAUAAAGUUGGGUCAUCUAUUUUGGAACGGAGGGAGUAUAUA